AUGGUGCUCUUGAGCAGAUAUGUGGUGGGAAGGGGUAUAUAGACAUGUCAACCGUUGAUGCUGAUACUUCUUCAAAGAUUAGUGAGGCCAUUACAUCAAAGGGUGGUUGUUUUGUUGAAGCUCCAGUUUCAGGGAGCAAAAAGCCAGCUGAAGAUGGC